rnacentral:rRNA from 1 species
UUAUGUGAUCGUCUCUCGCAUAUCAAUAAGCGGAGGAAAAGAAACUAACAAGGAUUCCCCUAGUAACGGCGAGUGAAGCGGGAAGAGCUCAAAUUUGAAAUCUUAAAGGGUUUCCCUUUACGAAUUGUAGUUUAAAGAAGUGUUUUCUGUUGAGGUUUUGGUAAAAGUUCUUUGGAAUAGGACAUCAUAGAGGGUGAGAAUCCCGUAUUUGACCUUUACUUUCAACUUUGUGAUACACUUUCAAAGAGUCGGAUUGUUUGGGAAUGCAGUCCAAAAUGGGUGGUAAAUUUCAUCUAAAGCUAAAUAUUGGCGAGAGACCGAUAGCGAACAAGUACCGUGAGGGAAAGAUGAAAAGAACUUUGAAUAGAGAGUUAAACAGUACGUGAAAUUGUCAAAAGGGAAGCGUUUGACACCAGUGUUGUUUUUCUGAAAAUCAAUUAAAGAACUGUUUAUGCUAAGUUGUUUAGACUUUAUCAGCUAACUGUUUAGUUUUGAGCUUUUCUUUAAUGCACUUUUCAGUUAACAAGUCAACAUCAAUUUCUUUUGCUGUAAAAAAGCUUGAGGAAGGUGGCUUGAGAUUCGUCUUAAGUGUUUAUAGCCUCUUGCCUAUGCAGUCGGAGAGAUUGAGGUCUGCAGCGUAGAUCCUUCGGGGCUAAAUGCAUUUGUGCUAAGUUAUAGCAUUUUAUAGACAACUUGUUGACUAUGAUUUGUCUUGUAGCUUACUCGCUUAUGUUAUUUUACCUACGCUUAGGAUGUUGACACACGCGCGUGCUCG